rnacentral:rRNA from 1 species
GUAGGGAAUCUUCCACAAUGGACGAAAGUCUGAUGGAGCAACGCCGCGUGAGCGAAGAAGGUUUUCGGAUCGUAAAGCUCUGUUGCCGGAGAAGAACGAGUGCCAGAGGAAAUGCUGGUGCUGUGACGGUAUCCGGCCAGAAAGCCACGGCUAACUACGUGCCAGCAGCCGCGGUAAUACGUAGGUGGCAAGCGUUGUCCGGAAUUAUUGGGCGUAAAGCGCGCGCAGGCGGCUUCUUAAGUCUGAUGUGAAAUCUUGCGGCUCAACCGCAAAAGGUCAUUGGAAACUGGGGAGCUUGAGUGCAGAAGAGGAGAGUAGAAUUCCACGUGUAGCGGUGAAAUGCGUAGAGAUGUGGAGGAAUACCAGUGGCGAAGGCGGCUCUCUGGUCUGUUACUGACGCUGAGGUGCGAAAGCAUGGGGAGCAAACAGGAUUAGAAACCCCAGUAGUCC